rnacentral:rRNA from 1 species
CAUAAUCUCUGAGGAGAAAAGCAGGGGAUCGCAAGACCUUGCGCUUUUGGAGCGGCCGAUGUCUGAUUAGCUAGUUGGUGAGGUAAAGGCUUACCAAGGCUUCGAUCAGUAGCUGGUCUGAGAGGACGACCAGCCACACUGGGACUGAGACACGGCCCAGACUCCUACGGGAGGCAGCAGUGGGGAAUUUUGGACAAUGGGGGCAACCCUGAUCCAGCCAUGCCGCGUGAGUGAAGAAGGCCUUCGGGUUGUAAAGCUCUUUCAGCCGGAACGAAACGGUCACGGUUGAUAACUGUGAUCACUGACGGUACCGGAAGAAGAAG